UGGGAAUCUUGGACAAUGGGGGAAACCCUGAUCCAGCCAUGCCGCGUGAGUGAUGAAGGCCUUCGGGUUGUAAAACUCUUUCGACGGGGACGAUAAUGACGGUACCCGUAGAAGAAGCUCCGGCUAACUUCGUGCCAGCAGCCGCGGUAAUACGAAGGGGGCUAGCGUUGUUCGGAAUUACUGGGCGUAAAGCGCGCGCAGGCGGUUCUCCAAGUCAGUGGUGAAAGCCCGGAGCUCAACUCCGGAAUUGCCAUUGAAACUGCAGAACUUGAGGACGAGAGAGGUGAGUGGAAUUCCCAGUGUAGAGGUGAAAUUCGUAGAUAUUGGGAAGAACACCGGUGGCGAAGGCGGCUCACUGGCUCGUUUCUGACGCUCAGGCGCGACAGCGUGGGGAUCAAAC
rnacentral:rRNA from 1 species